CUCUUCUCCCCGCCGAUCCGUCGCGCGGCAGCGCCGCUUUAAAUCCGGCGCCUCGCCGCCUCCCUCCUCCUCCCCGCCCCGGCCGGUCCCCCCGCCUGCCUCUCUCUCUCUCCGCCGCCGCGGCCGUGACGUCAUGCGCUCGCCGGCGCUGCCGCCUACCAUCCACAACCAGCCAGCCGUAGGCUUGUAUCUAGCCAAUCAGCCCUCGUAGGUGGCCUGUUUUAUAGCUGCUGCCGUCGUUGUCGUCGCGGCUGAGGCGACGUGAGGAUUGGUUAGAGAGGGAACCAGGAUUUGGUUGAGAGGAGGCGGCGGCGGCGGCGGCGAUGGGGCGCGGGAAGGUGCAGCUGAAGCGGAUCGAGAACAAGAUCAACCGCCAGGUGACCUUCUCCAAGCGCCGCGCGGGGCUGCUCAAGAAGGCGCACGAGAUCUCCGUGCUCUGCGACGCCGAGGUCGCGCUCAUCAUCUUCUCCACGAAGGGGAAGCUCUACGAGUACGCCACCGACACAAGUAUGGACAAAAUUCUUGAACGGUAUGAACGCUACUCCUAUGCAGAAAAGGUUCUCAUUUCAGCAGAAUCUGAAACUCAGGGCAACUGGUGCCACGAAUAUAGAAUGCUAAAGGCGAAGGUUGAGACAAUACAGAAAUGUCAAAAGCACCUCAUGGGAGAGGAUCUUGAAACUCUGAAUCUCAAGGAGCUUCAGCAACUAGAGCAGCAGCUAGAGAGUUCACUGAAACAUAUCAGAUCCAGAAAGAGCCAGCUUAUGAUGGAGUCAAUUUCAGAGCUUCAACGGAAGUGUAACAUCUACGCGAAUAUUUCUGGUCCCGUGCUGCACUGACUGCUGGCACGUGCUCCGCAGGAGAAGUCCCUGCAGGAGGAGAACAAGAUUCUGCAGAAGGAGCUCGCAGAGAAGCAGAAAGCCCAGCGACAGCAAGCGCAAUGGGACCAGACUCAACAACAAACCAGCUCGUCUUCCUCGUCCUUCAUGAUGAGAGAAGCUCCCCCAGCAACAAAUAUCAGCAGCUACCCCGUGGCAGCAGGCGGGAGGGUGGAGGGGCCAGCAGCGCAGCCGCAGGCUCGCAUUGGGCUGCCACCGUGGAUGCUUAGCCACAUCAGCAGCUGAACUGAAGGCUUUCCUCUCGCCCGUCUCGGUGUGCAAGCCCAAAAUCCAGCAACGCAACGGUAGUAUGCUCACCCGGCUGCGCCAAUGCUCCACUUGAUGCAUCAUUAUCGUCGAUCUUGUCGUGAUCGCUACCAGCAGCAGCAGCAGUAAGCAGUAAGCAGGGGUUUAUCAUAAUUUGAGCAGCAUAUAAGUUCCAAUCUUCGCUGUGUAUAUUUUGCUUUUGUUCAUCACCAUUUCCGCUGAGGGGACCGUACGAUGAAUAAUUUCCCCCAUGUAAUAUAUAAUAUGCGCAGCAUGAAUGUCAAUCGAGCGGUUUGUCAAUUGAGUCCUGUACAAGUUGCAUCAUUGCUUGUUGUAUUCACAAGACACCUGUGCCUCCGCACUCAAUCCUAUCUGUAGGCUUUGAUUCUUUUAUGUAUCUUCUGCCAUUCUAUAAUGGCCCUGUUUA